UGGUAGAUGGGCUAGAAGAGCAUGACAUAUACUGUUGUGUCGAUAUUUUCUCCUCGGACCUUGAAAAUUUAUGGUGGGGAUACGCAAACUUCUCAACAGGCCGUACCAAUAUCCGCAGCUGGUCUCCAAGGUGAAGAGUCUCUAGUCGAUAGAAUAAUGUAGGUAAGGGAAGUCGGCAAAUUAGAUCCGUAACUUCGGGAUAAGGAUUGGCUCUGAAGAUUGAGAUAGUCGGGCUUGAUUGGGAAACAAUAACAUGGUUUAUGUGCUCGUUCUGGGUAAAUAGAGUUUCUAUCAUUUAUGAUAGUUAUUUGUUCCCCGGAUAGUUAGUUACGUAGCCAAUUGUGGAAGUUUCUUGCUAAAAUUUUUAAGAAUACUAAUUUUUAAUUAGUUCUUUUAAAUUAUAACGAUUAUCAAUUAACAAUCAAUUCAGAACUGGCACGGACUUGGGGAAUCCGACUGUCUAAUUAAAACAAAGCAUUGUGAUGGCCCUAGCGGGUGUUGACACAAUGUGAUUUCUGCCCAGUGCUCUGAAUGUCAAAGUGAAGAAAUUCAAGUAAGCGCGGGUCAACGGCGGGAGUAACUAUGACUCUCUUAAGGUAGCCAAAUGCCUCGUCAUCUAAUUAGUGACGCGCAUGAAUGGAUUAACGAGAUUCCUACUGUCCCUAUCUACUAUCUAGCGAAACCACAGCCAAGGGAACGGGCUUGGAAUAAUUAGCGGGGAAAGAAGACCCUUUUGAGCUUGACUCUAAUCUGGCAGUGUAAGGAGACAUAAGAGGUGUAGAAUAAGUGGGAGAUAUUAUUCCUUGUGUUUGAUAUCGCCAAUGAAAUACCACUACUCUUAUUGUUUCCUUACUUACUUGAUUAAAUGGAACGUGUAUCAUUUCCUAGCCAUUAUACGGAUAUAUUUAUUAUAUCUUAUGGUAUUGGGUUUUGAUGCAAGCUUCUUGAUCAAAGUAUCACGAGUUUGUUAUAUAAUCGCAAACAAAUUCUUUAAUGAGAGAGUGCAUUUAUGUAUUUUUAAUUUGAAAUAUUUGGUAUAACUCCAAUUACUCAGGUAUGAUCCAAUUCAAGGACAUUGCCAGGUAGGGAGUUUGACUGGGGCGGUACAUCUCUCAAAUAAUAACGGAGGUGUCCCAAGGCCAGCUCAGUGCGGACAGAAACCACACAUAGAGCAAAAGGGCAAAUGCUGACUUGAUCUCGGUGUUCAGUACACACAGGGACAGCAAAAGCUCGGCCUAUCGAUCCUUUUGGUUUAAAGAGUUUUUAACAAG
rnacentral:ncRNA from 1 species